rnacentral:lncRNA from 1 species
UAAAGGUGGUGUUUAAAUGACUAUGUUGGUAUUUAUCUUUAAGCAGUCUGAAAGAAUGUUAUUAUAGAUAGGCUGUGCUAUAUGGACAUGGCCCUGUCCAUUAAGAUUAUUCCUAGUACUAAUGUCUGCCAUUAUGUUUUUACUCAGGGAGGUUAACAUUAAAAAGAAUGGACCUUAAUGUUAAAUUAGGGGUAAAGCCAUUUGUACACUCAUUUAUUACACUAUUGUUGACAUUUGCUGUGUUGUCAACA